rnacentral:rRNA from 1 species
GACGAACGCUGGCGGCGUGCUUAACACAUGCAAGUCGAACGGACAAACUCGAUAGCUUGCUAGGAAGUUUGUUAGUGGCGGACGGGUGAGUAACGCGUGGGUAACCUACCCAAAUGUUCGGGACAACACCGGGAAACUGGUGCUAAUACCGGAUACACUGCCUGGAGGGCAUCCUCCGGGCAGGAAAGGAGCAAUCCGCAAAUGGAUGGACCCGCGUCCCAUUAGCUAGUUGGUGAGGUAACGGCCCACCAAGCCGACGACGGGUAGCCGGUCUGAGAGGAUGGCCGGCCACAAGGGCACUGAGACACGGCCCAGACUCCUACGGGAGGCAGCAGUGGGGAAUAUUGGACAAUGGGGGAAACCCUGAUCCAGCGACGCCGCGUGUGUGAAGAAGGCCUGCGGGUUGUAAAGCACUUUUAGUGGGGAGGAAAUGCUCAGACCUAACACGUCUGGGAGCUGACUUAACCCAAAGAAAAGCACCGGCUAACUCUGUGCCAGCAGCCGCGGUAAGAGUC